AGCUUUUGCCUCCUUGUAUUGAAGGUAUUGAUUUUUAAUGCACUUCUACAUUUCUUGGAUCCAACUCAGAAAUUAUGCUUGUAUUGUUUCUUAUUUUGCUAAUGGCUAAAGGUCUCAAGACGUAAAUAGCAACAAUUACCUUGAGAUUGUAAUUUAUAUGUGGUAAAUUUGAAAAACAUUACAGUUUCAAGCUUAAUUUGAU
rnacentral:misc_RNA from 1 species